rnacentral:rRNA from 1 species
GAUGAACGCUGGCGGCGUGCCCAAUACAUGCAAGUCGAGCGAACGGACGAGAAGCUUGCUUCUCUGAUGUUAGCGGCGGACGGGUGAGUAACACGUGGAUAACCUACCUAUAAGACUGGGAUAACUUCGGGAAACCGUAGCUAAUACCGGAUAAUAUUUUGAACCGCAUGGUUCAAAAGUGAAAGACGGUCUUGCUGUCACUUAUAGAUGGAUCCGCGCUGCAUUAGCUAGUUGGUAAGGUAACGGCUUACCAAGGCAACGAUGCAUAGCCGACCUGAGAGGGUGAUCGGCCACACUGUAUCUGAGACACGGUCCAGACUCCUACGGGAAGCCGCAGUAGGGAAUCUUCCGCAAUGGGCGAAAGCCUGACGGAGCAACGCCGCGUGAGUGAUGAAGGUCUUCGGAUCGUAAAACUCUGUUAUUAGGGAAGAACAUAUGUGUAAGUAACUGUGCACAUCUUGACGGUACCUAAUCAGAAAGCCACGGCUAACUACGUG